GACGAACGCUGGCGGCGUGCUUAACACAUGCAAGUCGAACGAAGAGCGAUGGAAGCUUGCUUCUAUCAAUCUUAGUGGCGAACGGGUGAGUAACGCGUAAUCAACCUGCCCUUCAGAGGGGGACAACAGUUGGCAACGACUGCUCAUACCGCAUACGAUCUAAUCUCGGCAUCGAGGAUAGAUGAAAGGUGGCCUCUACAUGUAAGCUAUCACUGAAGGUGGGGAUUGCGUCUGAUUAGCUAGCUGGAGGGGUAACGGCCCACCAAGGCGAUGAUCAGUAGCCGGUCUGAGAGGAUGAACGGCCACAUUGGGACUGAGACACGGCCCAGACUCCUACGGGAGGCAGCAGUGGGGAAUCUUCCGCAAUGGACGAAAGUCUGACGGAGCAACGCCGCGUGAGUGAUGACGGCCUUCGGGUUGUAAAGCUCUGUUAAUCGGGACGAAAGGCCUUCUUGCGAAUAGUGAGAAGGAUUGACGGUACCGGAAUAGAAAGCCACGGCUAACUACGUG
rnacentral:rRNA from 1 species